rnacentral:rRNA from 1 species
GAUGAACGCUGGCGGCGUGCCUAAUACAUGCAAGUCGAGCGAACAGACGAGGAGCUUGCUCCUCUGACGUUAGCGGCGGACCGGUGAGUAACACGUGGAUAACCUACCUAUAAGACUGGGAUAACUUCGGGAAACCGGAGCUAAUACCGGAUAAUAUAUUGAACCGCAUGGUUCAAUAGUGAAAGACGGUUUUGCUGUCACUUAUAGAUGGAUCCUCGCCGCAUUAGCUAGUUGGUAAGGUAACGGCUUACCAAGGCAACGAUGCGUAGCCGACCUGAGAGGGUGAUCGGCCACACUGGAACUGAGACACGGUCCAGACUCCUACGGGAGGCAGCAGUAGGGAAUCUUCCGCAAUGGGCGAAAGCUUGACGGAGCAACGCCGCGUGAGUGAUGAAGGUCUUCGGAUCGUAAAACUCUGUUAUUAGGGAAGAACAAAUGUGUAAGUAACUAUGCACGUCUUGACGGUACCUAAUCAGAAAGCCACGGCUAACUACGUG